rnacentral:tRNA from 1 species
GGGGACGUUGCUCAGUGGUAGAGCACUUGCUGUCUUGAACAAGGCCUGGGUUCUAUCCCCAGUACUCUCU